ensembl:lncRNA
CUGAUGCGGCUGCAGCUGAACAAGCCUUGCCUGCUGUUGCAGAAGACGAGGAGCCGGAGCACGCCGGUUUGCUCUGUUCGCCUAUAGACACUAACACAGAGUCCCUGUGCUGCAGCACAGGGAUUUCAGCGAUGCCAGUUUCUUCUAGAAUGGCUGAUUCUGGCGAGGACGGGGCAAUGUGUGUAACCUCUCACCCAGGCUUUACGCCUCAUCUGAACAGUUGGGUAAAGCCCGCCGGGAGAGACUUCUGAACAUAGAUCUCCAUUAUUGAAACAUAACAACAUUGGCGACGAGGAUGGCUGGAUGCUGCCUACCACCCCCUCCCCUUCCUAGCCCUGCCGGGAGAACCACCGGUGCCGUGGCCCCUCUGGAUUACCUUGUUCCAAACGUUUAUCACCGCUGCCGGCCUGGACACUGUUCCGGAGUGGAGGUACCGUGCACUGCUGCUGCACUGUCUGGGAGCGGAGGGACAGCGCGUGUUGGGAACUCUUGGCCCCGCGCCUACUUUCGCAAAGGCCGUGGAGCUCAUGAAAGCACAUUACCCCGCUCCUAAAGGUGUUCUGCUCCGUCGCGUCAUAUUCCGACGCAGGCGCCAACGUCCAUGGGAGUCAGUGGAGAGGUUCGCGGCUGAAUUAGGGAUGCUGGCUACCAUGUGCAAGUACGGGGCGUUACAGGACGAAAUGAUAAGGGACCAACUGAUACUGCACACAAAAAAUGAAUUAAUUAGGCAAAGGCUGUUACUGGAAAAUAAUGAUCUAACAUUAACAGCAGCUCUUAAUCUAGCAGUUCAGGUUGAAUCUAAAUCUGGUUCAUGGUCGUUGUCUGAAUAUAAUGAGAUUGCGAUUGUUUAUGUCAUUUUAAUGGUCUUUUGUAUUUUCGUAGCAUGCGUAACAUUUCUGAUCGGUCCUAUGUUAAAAAGUUUAAUCUGAAACGAUUGACGUGGUCAAAAGUCCAACCACAGCGAUGGCAACGGUUAUCACAUCUCUCGGCGUGGACCUUGACCUGAGAGCAGUAACUAGGCCAUAAUCACAAAAGACACAAAUAGGCUACCCUUUGUUCGCAAAUCUAUGUAGCGCUAUCACCAAAUGACUAUCGGCCCAUAGGCCUAUAUCUGCUGUGCCAGUGCAUUGAGAAAGUCAAAGACUUUCUCAAAAUUUCCUUCCACUAAAUGAGGACAAAACCGAGAUGGUACUAAAAUGAAAACCUCCCUGAGGAUUUACUUGCCCCAACUCUGACCACUUUUAAAAACAGGACUGAAGACUUAUAUGUUUGCUUUUAUUUAGUUUGCCUUUGUUUUCUUUUAUUGAUCCAUUUUAUUUAAUUUCAUGUUAUUGUAUGACAAUGUUUUUAUGUGAAGCACUUUGAUUCUGCCUCGUGUAUAAGAAGGGCUAUAUGAAUAAAGUUGCCUUGCCUUGCCUUUGUCCAUGACAGAGGAGCUCACCGCCCAGUUCCACGCGUCAUUUUCUCUAAACUGGACCACCGCCAGGGUACCUCCAACUUAACUACGUCAGUGAACGAACAGCGAGUCAGCGACUAGUGGCUCUGGGAGGAGUCGAGCCUGAGAACAAACAAGAGAGAAGAAUCAGUUCGGUUCGUUCUUGUUAAAGAUUCGUUCCUUCAAACUGAUUCGCUCUCGAACGACCCAUCUCUAUUCCACCAUCGACCCACGUGCCCAGAACCUGCCCCUGCCCAGAAACCCGCUCGAUACGGGCCCUGGCCAGAACCACCUGCGCUCCGGUUUGUACCUUGAAUGGUGAGGCCCUGUUGACCGUGAGCUCCCUCCAAGGACCACCACAGGACCUGCCCCCUCCCCACAGGACCCGCCCC